CCCCUCUCGGGAUCAUUCCUGGAGAGUUUCCGGUACUCUACAAGUCUCAGCUAUGUGAGGGACAGUCAAGUAGAGGCAUAUCCAUUCCAUUCCUAGCUUGAGCAGUGGCUAGGGAGUGGAAGACAAUCUGCUACAAGU